rnacentral:rRNA from 1 species
CCCUUAGAUGUUCUGGGCAGCACGCGCGCUACAAUGGUCUUCGCAAACGGAUGCAUUCUCGAAGGAGAAUGCCAAUCUUGGAAUCUAUGCCUUGGUCGGGACAGUUGCUUGCAAUUUUUCGACUCGAACCAGGAAUUCCUUGUAAUCGUGAUUCAUCACAUCACGAUGAAUACGUCCCUGCCCUUUGCACACACCGCCCGUCGCUCCUACCGAUCGAAGAGUUAGGUGAAUUGUUUUGAUCGAUAAGAUUUGACUAUGGUCAACUCUCGUUGUGAAAUUCUGUGAAUCUGACUGUUUAGAGGAAGGAAAAGUCGUAACA